rnacentral:pre_miRNA from 1 species
CAACUACUCCCUCUGUCCCAAAUUUGUUGUCUUAGAUUUGUCUAGAUACAUAUGUAUCUAAUACUAAAAUGUGACUUGAUACAUCCGUAUCUAGACAAAUCUAAGACAAGAAUUUUGGGAUGGAGGGAGUACUUU